rnacentral:lncRNA from 1 species
GGGCGAGAGACAGAAGGCGAGGGUGGAGGGUGGAAGAAGAGAAGGUGGGGAGGGGAGUGGGCAUGGGCGAAGGGUAUAGGGGACGCGGGGGCUAAAGAAAGGCGAAAGCGGGGAGAGGUGGUGAUGGAGAUGAGAGGAGAGAAGCGCAAGGUAACGGGAGGUGAAGGGGAGCACGAGAAUGGAGAUGACGUGGGUAAGAGAGGAGAUGAGGAAAGGAAGGGGAACGAGAGGAUUGGCAAAAAAGAACGGUGACAAGGAGAGAUGAUAAAGGGGCAGGAGGAGAAGGCGAGUAGGAAAGAAAAGAGGUGAGGGAGCGAGGACUGGAAGCUGGUGAAUGAAUGAGAAGUGAUCGGGAGUAAGGGGCGUCAGGAGGAAGGAGGAAGGGCGAUGAGAAGGCGGCGGCGGAGGGGAAGGGGGGAGGCCCGGCGCGGCGGCUCACGCCUCUAAUCCCAGCGCUUCCGGAGGCCAAGGCGGGAGCAUCGCUUGAGCCCAGGAGUUCGAGACCAGCCUGGGCAACAUAGGGAGACCCUUUCUCUACAAAAUAAAAAGUAAAACAGCCGGGCCUGGUGGCGCUGCUUGUGGUCCCAGCUACUGGGGAGGCUGAGGUGGGAGGAUCGCUUGAGCCUCGGAGGUUGAGGCCGCAGUGAGCUGUGAUGGCACCACUGCACUCCAGCCUGGGCCACAGAAGGAGACCCUGUCUCAAAAAACAAACAAACAAAAAGGAGGUGAGUUAGUUAUGGAGGAGAUGAGGUGGUGUGGGAAGAGGUGAGAGGGAGGCACAGAGGUAAAAGAAAAAGGAGAAAGACAGGAGGGAGAGGGGAAGUGAAAAGGAAAGAGAGGUAGAAAUGAGAGGAGGGGAAAGAGUAGGAGAAAGGGUGAAGGGAGAGGAGGUAGGAAGGGGAGCUGUCAGGAAGAACAGAAAAGAAAGAAAAAGAUGAGAGUAACAAGUUAGGAAAACAGGAAAGAGAUGGAAAAAGGAAUGGUGUAGGAAGGAGGUGAAGGGGAAGGAGGUGAGGAAGAGUGGAAAGAACAUGCUGGGAGAAUAGGAAAUGGAAGGGGUGGAGGGAGAGGGGAGGUGAAAGGAAGACAGAGAGGGAGAGAGAGAAGGUGUGUUUAUGUCUAUUCUCCACAAGCAGGGUUUCACCACAGCCACUGGCAAGAUACACACAUCCAUAUGACCCUCCUGUCACAGCAGCAGUGACCUUGCAGUUCAGUGAACUUCUGUUUAUUGAGUGUCGCAGCUGUGCAUAGUAUACCAGGAAGCACUGACCUCUCUCUGUAGUUUAUCCUGUUAUAAACCUGUGAACCCUCACAGUGCAGUGAACUGGACCUGGGCUUUGGGAGUCAGGGGAAGAAACCCAGAUGGCCAGUGUCACACAGCCUGCAAAUGAGUGCUGGGGGACAGAUACUCUGGCCCCAAGGCAGCUUCCACUCCAUUCCACAAUGAUGCUAUCACAGCAACCAUUAGUGGUGUCCCCUGGGCCCCUUCCCCCAAGGGCAGCCAUGGGCUUAUGCAAAGACAGUUGUCUUCCUUGGAAACCUCAGAGGCACAGACAUCCCAGGCAGGCAUGCUCCAGUGCUCGGGUCUUAGCUCAGACGUCUCUGGGAAGCCUUCCCUGACCUGUCUCAAGUAGCCCCCUCUCUCCCUAGCUGAUGUUUUCCACAGCACUUUCUGAGCUUUUGUACGUGUUGACUAUUUGUUGUCUCACUAAAGCACGGUUGCAGAGGGGCAGGCCAUAUCCCCAGGGCCCGGUCUACAGUCACGUUGAAUAUUUCAUGGCCUUAAAUUCUGCAAGUUCCACUGCUUGUAAUGCGAUUUCGCAGUCACUCCCAGCAAGAGGUAGAGUUUGUUUCUCCACCAGCCUGAACCUAGACUAGCCUUGUGGCUGGUCUUGACCAAUAGAAUGUGACAGAAAAGAGGCUGCACAAGUCCCAGAGCAUCAACAGCCCUGGCUCACUUCUUCCUUUACUGCCUGGGAAUGCUGAAUGACACUCAGAAGCAGCCCUGGGCAGGUCAGUGGCUCAUGCCUGUAAUUCCAACACUGGGAGGCUGAAGUAGGAGGAUCACUUGAGCCCAGGAGUUCGAGACCAGCCUGGGCAACAUAUCAAGACCCUGAUGCUACAAAAAAUUUAAAAAAUUAUCCAGGAAUAGUGAUGCCUGCCUGUAGUCCCAGCUACUUGGAGGGCUGAGGUGGGAAGAUUGCUUGAGCCCAGGAGGUGGAGGCUGUAGUGAGCCGUGACUGCCCCUCUGCCCUCCAGCCUGGGAGACAGAGCAAGACUCUGUCUCAAACAACAACAACAAUAAUAACAACAAAAUGGUAGCAGCCCCAGAAGAAAGAGCACGUGGAUAGGGAGCCCAGUCAUUGCAGCUCUCCCAGCCGACCCACCAGCUGAAUACAGCAGCACAAGUGACUAGUGAGACCAGCAGAAAAACUGCCCAGCUGAGCCACAGAAUAGCAGAAAACAAAAAAUCAUUACUUUAUGCCACUACAUUCUGGGGUCUUGCUUGUUACACAGCAAUAGAUCACUGAGACACACCUCAAUCCUUAUGUGUUGAAUGAAUGAAUGAAUGAAUGAAAUUCUCUAGAGUACAGUGCAGUCUGCUGAGUAACAUGUUUUGAUCCCACCCCACUCCCCCCAACACACACACACAGCAAGGCCAGACUAUGUCACUCCCCUGCCGAAAAUCCAACAGAGGCUCCCUAUUGCCCUUGGAAUUGAGUCCAAGUUCAGUAUCAUACUGUGGCCAACAAGGUGUGAUAGAGGCCCUGCCAUUUUCUCUGAGCUCAUCUCCUUCCUGCUUUUCUUCAGGACUCUGGCCACUCUGGGCUCCUUUUUGUUCCCAUCAAGGGCUUGUCUUACAUUUUUCUGUCCCUCUUAAUCAGUGCUUCUCCAUGAAGGCAGUACCACCCCCAGACGCAUUUUGAAAUUUUGUUGGGGGGAUAUUUCUGUUGUCGUAAUAGAGGGAACAGGAAUGCUAGAUAACAUCCUGCAGAGAGCUGAACAAUCCUAUGUAACAAACAAUUCAAUGUAUGCCACAUGGCCAGACACUCCUGGAGAUGAAAAACUUAUUGAUAAUGAUCUGAGCCUAGAAUCUAAAUCUGCUUUACAUAUAAAAUGUUUUUUGCUGUAGUUUUUUUGUUUGUUUGUUUGUUUGUUUUGAGAUGGAGUCUCGCACUGUCGCCUAGGCUGAAGUGCAGUGGUGUGAUCUCCACUCACUGCAACCUCUGCCUCCCAGGUUCAAGCGAUUCUCCUGCCUCAGCCUCCUGAGUAGCUGGGAUUACAGGCACCCGCCACCACGCCUGGCUAAUUUUAUUUGUAUUUUUAGUAGAGACGAGGUUUCACUAUGUUGGCCAGGCUGGUCUCCAACUCCUGACCUCAAGUGAUCUGCCCGCCUUGGCCUCCCAAAGUGCUGGGAUUACAGGCGUGAGCCACCAUGCCCGGCCCUUGUGUAGAUUUAAUAUCACCACAUUUUCCAGAAAUGCAAAUAUCAUUGCAAUUCAAGGGAAAUAUAUAUGUAUAUGUAUAUGUAUAUGUAUAUAUACAUAUGUAUUUUGAGACAAGGUUUCACUCCAUCACCCAGGCUGGAGUGCAGUGGUGUGAUCGAAGCAUGCAACACCAUGCCCAGCUAAUUUGAAAAAAUAUUUUUGUAGAGAUGGGGGUCUCCCUAUGUUGUCCCUGCUGGUCUGGAACUUCUGGCUGAAGCGAUCCUCCCACCUUUGCCUCCCAAAGUGCUGGGAUUACAGAUGUGUGCCACCAUGCCUGGCUAAUUUUACAAUUUUUUUUUUUGAGGCAGAGUCUCACUCUGUUGCCCAGGCUGGAGUGCAGUGGUGUGAUCAUGGCUCACUGCAGCCUCCACCUCUUGGGCUCAAAUGAUCCUCCAAAUUCAGCCUCCAGAGUAGCUGGGACUACAGGUGUGUGCCACCGUACCUGACUAAUUGUUAAAUAUUUUUGUGGAGAUAGGGUCUCCCUGUGUUGCCCAGGUUGGUCUCAAACUCCUGGUCUCAAGCGAUCCUCCUACCUCCACCUUCCAAAGUGCUGGGAUUACAGGAGUAAGCCAGCACACCUGGCCAGAAAAAUGUAUUUUGUCUGGAACUUUACCAAAUAUCAUUUACCACUUCAAAGCCACAUUGCUGUCAUUUACACCAGCUAUGGUAUCUGAUUUGCUGCUAGGGCACUCCAAUCAGCCUGCACAUAUGGCUGUGGCAAUUCCAGGGGAUCCCACUUUUAGGUUCCAGCAUCCGCCUGCUUCAUUACACCUUCUAGUGUAAUUGUAUCUGAGCAUUUAU